GUGUUUGUGGUGUAGUGGUUAUCACGCCCGCUUUACACGCGGGAGGUCCCAGGUUCGUAUCCUGGCAAGUAUA
rnacentral:tRNA from 1 species